rnacentral:rRNA from 1 species
GACGGAGGGGGCUAGCGUUGUUCGGCCUUACUGGGCGUAAAGAGCACGUAGGUGGCUCGGUAAGUCGGGGGUGAAAGCCCGGGGCUCAACCCCGGAACUGCCUCCGAAACUGCUGGGCUCGAGUCCGGAAGAGGGUAGUGGAAUUCCCAGUGUAGAGGUGAAAUUCGUAGAUAUUGGGAAGAACACCAGUGGCGAAGGCGGCUACCUGGUCCGGUACUGACACUGAGGUGCGAAAGCGUGGGGAGCAAACAGG